rnacentral:rRNA from 1 species
GUUGACGCUGGCGGCAGGCCUAACACAUGCAAGUCGAACGAGUGGCGGACGGGUGAGAAAUGUCUGGGAAACUGCCAGAUGGAGGGGGAUAACUACUGGAAACGGUAGCUAAUACCGCAUACCAUCGGAUGUGCCCAGAUGGGAUUAGCUAGUAGGUGGGGUAAAGGCUCACCUAGGCGACGAUCCCUAGCUGGUCUGAGAGGGUGACCAGCCACACUGGAACUGAGACACGGUCCAGACUCCUACGGGAGGCAGCAGUGGGGAAUAUUGCGCAAUGGGCGCAAGCCUGAUGCAGCCACGCCGCGUGGAUGAAGAAGGUCUUCGGGUUGUAAAGUACUUUCAGCGGGGAGGCGUUACCUGCAGAGGAAGCACCGGCUAACUCCGUGCCAGCAGCCGCGGUAAUAC